CCCUUAGAUGUUCUGGGCCGCACGCGCGCUACACUGACGAUGUCAACGAGUCUCUCCUUGGCCGAAAGGUCUGGGUAAUCUUCUGAAACAUCGUCGUGCUGGGGAUAGAUCAUUGCAAUUUUUGAUCUUGAACGAGGAAUUCCUAGUAAGCGCGAGUCAUCAGCUCGCGUUGAUUACGUCCCUGCCCUUUGUACACACCGCCCGUCGCUACUACCGAUUGAAUGGUUUAGUGAGGACUCCUGAUUGGCGCCGCCGCCCCGGCAACGGAGCAGUGGACUGCCGAAAAGUUGUUCAAACUUGAUCAUUUAGAGGAAGUAAAAGUAGUAACA
rnacentral:rRNA from 1 species